GAAGCCACAAGGGUGCAGCCUUAUUGUCAUUCUAAAUUUGCUGAUCCAAAAAUGCUGUGAUCUUAUCUCUAUUUGGCAUCAAUCUCUUAAUGAUUUUUCUUUUUCUAAUCAAUUCCUAUGUGCUUCAGCUGCUCUAGUAGGUCAUUUGCCGAAAUGGCAACAGAUAUCAGUGUUUGUUCUGAAGCUCAAUUAUUGCUUCAUUUGAUUUUGUUUCUUGUUGAUAUG
rnacentral:lncRNA from 1 species